UUCUCGAAAUUCAAGAAAAACAAAAGGAGAAUCCAAAUGAUCUUGUUGUUUGUACGAAAAGAGAGUAAGAGCUUUCGCAAUUAUUUUGAUUGGUUUUUGUGCUCUGUUUUCUUUUUGUCUUUUUUCUUUUUCUUGUCAUCUUUUGUGUGAUGG
rnacentral:ribozyme from 13 species